AGGUGUGGGUCUCAACCAACGGGAUCCGUGCCGCAGCUAACGCAUUAAGUGCCCCGCCUGGGGAGUACGGCCGCAAGGCUAAAACUCAAAGGAAUUGACGGGGGCCCGCACAAGCGGCGGAGCAUGUUGCUUAAUUCGAGGCAACGCGAAGAACCUUACCUGGGUUUGACAUGUAGGGAAAAGCCGUAGAGAUACGGUGUCCUUUUGGGCCCUACACAGGUGGUGCAUGGCUGUCGU
rnacentral:rRNA from 1 species